AACAAAUAUUUUUUGUGAGAUCGAUAAUAAAGCUGUACAAAUUUCGUCGCAUUCUAUUAUCCCACGUAUUGUGCAUCUUUAUUUGUCAUUCUGUGAAGAAGAGACCAAAGGUAGGAUGACUAAUAAUACUUGCUGUUUUUCAAAUAGAUACUUACUUUGCAUCUACCCACGCGAUAUGAAAAUGAAACCACGCAAUGUGAUUAUACAAGUUGUACAGAUUUCAUAAAAACAUGGAAAUCGACGAACGGGUAGGAGAUAUAACGCGAAGUGUUCUGAAUGAAACUGAUUGUUAAAAUGGUGCUCAACGUUAUCUAAUCGAAUGGCAGUAAUUUUUCGACCGAAGAGAAGUGAUCUUUUGACUUUAACGUGCCUUCGUGUUACGAGGCGCGGCUUGUCCUUGCGAAUAAGAUAUCUACUAGUGUGCAGUCACAUACUGAAGUGCACAACUUGUUGCACCAACCAAUGUGCUUCAUAAGCAGCCUACACGCCGCACGCCAUAGGAAUUCACGGUCCCUACGAUACUGCGACCGACGUAAUACCCGGUAUUACGUAAUUCAUUUUCCUUAUUUGUGAUCAAAUGAAAAUUCGUGUUCCUCGAGUAAUAAUAAAAUGCGAUUUUUAACGAUCGAACGAACACCUCUAACUCAAAUCUCUUUCUAAACCAUUAGUUUCUCACCGUUCUCUAAGAACGUUUUAUGCGAUUUUAACUUAUGUGUACAAAAUAUAUCAUUCACCAAAUAGAGCAAGAAACGCUUAUCUAUACGCCGUUAGUAUCGACUGCAGUAAUUGCAUGCACACAUACACGUUAAGGCCUUCAAACAGUGUGGCCUUUUCGCGCGUUUUCUUCUCACGCUUCGUCGAAGAGGAUUAUUGAACGCAUGAGUAUCACCCUGACCGAAAUUAACCCUUCGAAUGAAACUAUCCGUCCUCAUUCGUUUCCACCGUUGCGAGAUACGAGGGGGAAUACAUGAGGACCGGUGUCUUUUUACUUACACUGCGUUUCAAAACGGGGCAAACGCACGAGACAGAAUCGAUAUAACGAUGGUCGAUUUAUUAUUAAUAUUUUCCAUUAUUCACGAAUUUCCACAUGCAUUGCAGAGAACGAAUGUUUUUAUCAAAGUUGCCAGUUGCCAUCGGUGGCCAUGAAAAACACUAGAUUCAUUCUACUCGUAGUUAAUGUACAUAUGUAAGGUAAGAUUAAACCUACAUAGCUAUGUACAAUAUAGUACAUGUAUACGAGAAUAAAUAUGACGCACAUGAAUGACACGAUACACAACAUACGUGUUGUACUAGAUAUUACAUAGAUUAUCGUACCAUUUAGCCUGCAUGUAAUUUCGUAUCAACAAGUACUUCUUGCUGAUUAUUGAAUUUCAAAUUACGGAGAAAAGAAUUUACGCAGCAAAUACUAGUGGAAUAAACAAAUCUAAUUAAAUUGAGAAGAUAAGGCUGAUAAGAGGAAAAUUUAUCUAGCCAUUCGUAGAGUGGCACUCAUUGGCUGGCUUUAAGAAAAUGAAACGAGUCACGCGACGCUUCAAAUGGAUUUUUGUUAGCGCCGGUUUAGUCGACGGAGAAACGAAAAAUAUUGGAAAAAAGUCAAGGACAGCUUGAAUUCUUAAUGAAUGGAUACCGUUGGGCACGGCCUCGACGUAUGGCAGUAGGAUGGAACUUUGAGUAUGUGGGACGCCACGUAUGGUCCCGGUCAUCGGGAUGAACAUGUAUGGUCAUCGAACGUGUGUCUAGUUCGUAGGGACGUGUGUUGAGCGCAUCGGAAACUAUGCCACCGAACUGGGAAUGGUUCCAAGUCUUUAAUCAAUUAUAAUUAUCGUACGAAAAUCUGUCUUUGUCAUACUUUAAAUAUCAGAGGAAUAUUUGUUCACAUGACAAGAAUCGUGUGCUUUUCAUAAUCCCUCUAAUCUCGAUGUUCAGAAUUUGAACUUUGGUAGCCAGUAUGGAGUGCAUCUUAAAAACCUGUAGAACGUUGAUAGUCUUCAUAAUAAUUAAUUAUAAUGUGUUUUGCGUAGCGCAUAAAUGCAUUUCUUUUAUAUUGGCAGAUAGAAUUCGAGGACAGCAAAAGUCUCGUGAAAUAAUAGCGUGAUGUAUUUAAUUUCUAUCCACUGGUAAUUCAAUCGGACUGUUGCAAAGUCACCAUUGAGAUUUAUCACGCAUGCAUUUUUUUACUUCUUCACGGUGAAAGAUGCUACUAAUCGAAGGCUAACCACUUCACAAAAUCCCAACAAAAUCUAUUAUUGAUGCUAAUUAAAUAAAUGACGUUGAAUUGACCGUCAGCAUUUGUAAUCUAGGCACAAGUAAAAUGCGAUUAUUUUAUAAAUCAAGGUAUUAUCGUUGCGAAUGUAGGAUACAAAUUAUAUCGUUUCUGAAAAAAGUCCCUGAUUUUAAAAAAUCACAUUCACGAAUAUUUCACCUAUUAUUAUUAAUCGAAAGUUCUCUUAAUUUACAAACUAUGAACACAUAUGAACGGGCGUGUCUCUAAAUGUUUGAGCCAAAGAGAAACGAUGCUUACCGACGUUGAUCGCUUAACGGUACCGUCGAUUUCAACAGGGAAUAUUACGGAGAAAGCAAAAAAAUCUUUUUGACACGUAAUGGUGUUAACAACCUUAACACUACGAUUUUUUACAAUAACCAUCCUUUUCGUUCUAUAGGAACAGCUUGUUGAUCGCUCCUUAAGAUUACUAUUACGUAGUUACGCUGUUGAAGGUUCAACGUCACGGUGUAAAUAUAAUCGCAAAAAGAAGAGCCUCUUUUAGCUACCAGAUAGAAAAUUGCCCAACGCUCCAAAACGUGCGCGUUUAAAAUAACAAUGCCGCGUAAAAGAUCGUAGCGCCAAAAACAAUGAUGAAUGCCUGCCAAAAUCCGAUGAGAUUAACGACAUCGCAAAAAAUAAAGCUUACUACCUAGUUUUAUUGUUAGUCAGAGUCGUUUCUGCUUCGUUGCUCUGCGUAUGUAAGUAUAAUAUCCUUGAAGUAAUGGAAGCAACGCGCGUAUGAGAUUUACAUGAGAUUCUAUUUCUAUCGAAAUGUAUUUUGAGAAUGAUUACAUAAUACUAAAUCCGUUGCUUUCCUCGAAAAAUAAAUGACUGAUUUCCAGACAUCGAAUCACUACUUCUUAUAAUCAUCGAAACGGUCACAAUCAUCACUACAUGUCAUAAUUUUAUUGAAAUAACAAUAAUUUUAUAUAGCAACUGAAAGAAUAGUUGGAAGACAGCAAUCGAUGCGUCGCACUUACCAGUUGUAAAAGUUUAAU